UCACUAAAUACUGCUCCCGAUAACCAAGACUGGGGAGGAUAAAUAUGUCUUUUUUAUACCCUUCAUAUACAACGUACUCAUAAAAAUGACAACA
rnacentral:ncRNA from 1 species